CCAAUAGCCGGGUUAGGAUGCAAAGCUAUAAUUAACAUUGUUCAUGGUCUCGAUGGGAAGUUGUAUCUUUCGACGACUAUUUUGGAUCAUCAUCAUACAAUAACUCCACUUAAAUAAUGAUUAUUCAUAUGCAACAAAAGGUUAGAUUCCCAUGUCAAGCAAAGGCUUGAUUUGAAUGACUGGGCCGGCAUUCGAGUAAACAAGAAUUUCAGCUCUUUUAUUGUGGCAACAGAUAGUCAUGAGAACAAAACUUUCCAUGAGAAAGAUUCUUACAAUUUUCUAAAGAAAACAAUAAGGCUGAAACUUCAAAGUGGUGACGUUGAAGCGGUUCGUGACUAUUUUGUCAAAAUGCAAUCUGACAACCCAAACAUUUUUAGUGUCAUCGAUCUUGAUGAUGAAUCCUAACUUAGGAAUAUAUUUUGGGUUGAUGCCAAAAGUAGAGCAGUGUAUGACCCUUUUCAUGACGUCAUUACUUUUCACACGACAUAUUUGAUGCCUUUUGCUUGUUUUGUUGGAGUGAACCAUCAUUGUGAAUUAUGUUUUCUAGGAUUUUCUUUAUUAUCAAAUGAAGAUACUGCAACAUUUGUUUGGCUAUUCCAAGCAUGGAUCACAUGUAUGUCAAAUUCUCAACCAAAAUCUAUUUUAACUGAUCAAGCAAAAGCAAUUUAGAAUGGUGUGGAAAUAGUUUUUCUGGAAUCUUGAUACAAAUGGUGCAUGUGGUGUAUAAUGAAAAAGAUACCCGAGAAGUUAGGUGGAUAUGAUGAAUAUGAUCACAUCAAGGUUGUUGUUGACAAGACAAUUUAUGAUACACUGACAAUUACAUAAUUUGAAGUUGUUUCGAUGCAUAUGCUUGAGAAGUAUGCUGAUAAUGAACGGCUUAAAGAGCUUUACGACCAUUGACACUGUUGAGUUCCAGCAUUUGUGAAAGACUCCUUUUGGCAACGUAUGUCUACUACACAACUUAGUGAGACUAUGAAUGCCUUCUUUGAUGGGUAUGUUAAUGCGGAAACUACAGUGAAACAUUUUGUUAGCCAAUACGAUAAUGCUCUUAGUGAUAAAGUUGAUAAGGAGAAUAUUGUUGAUUUUAACUAGUUCAAUUCAACCAUACCUACCGUCGGUGUCAAAACCGGCAGAUCUCAGGUAGGGGGUCUUGAAUUGUGGACCUUGGAUCGAUGGGGAACAAGGGAUGUGGGACAAGAUAUUUACCCAGGUUCGGGCCCUCUCUAA
rnacentral:rRNA from 1 species